rnacentral:lncRNA from 1 species
ACCACUGCAGUGCUGCGGAAAUUGCCUUCACCAGCGGCUUUGCAACAGCUGUUUCGCAGCAUGUCGGAGACAAUGCCUACGAAAUUAUUGGCCCUGAUCAUGAGAGCCCUCAAGGGGCAGACAACAUCUCUGUUGCAGAAGUGAGCCCGAUACCACUUGGAAGUUACCAUGACAGAUGACACGGCAGCAAUAGAUACAGAGACUGCCAUGUCUACUGCAGCUGCAACAGUGUACGAGGCAAGCAGCAGCGCGUCAGCAUCAGCAGCAGUGUCAGAAGGAACCACACCAGGCCUGGUAGAGCAACAUGUGUGCUAUCACUGACUUUUUUUGUAGUGGAUACAACUCAUUUGCUCAACAUACAAAAGCUUUUCACCACGACUGUGAGCCAGUGUUAUUGUGCAGCAAGUGCAAGACUAAGUUAGGUGUUAUAACACAGUACAAGCAUCACUUUAAUAUAUGCAAAUGCAAACAUAUUACAGUUGUUGCCUCCCCAGCCAGCCCACAUAGUGACAACAAUGUGGAACACAUGGUGGGACACACCUCUCCCCCAUUACAAGAUAGUAGAGACUGUCAGUGUUGUUGCUAGAUUGACUGGUCUUUGUAGGCAACUAGAAGGACAACACAGGUGUCAAAAGAUUGUUGUUGAUGUUGUUGUUGAAGAGGUAAAAAAGAAGUUUGAUGCAGCUGAAGUGCCAACUGAUAUUGAGCAAAUCAAAAGCGACCACCUGAGAAAGCAACACUAUCGAAAUUUGGGUAUCUAUGUGCCGCCAACUCUGGUAAGAAUGGCAUAGGACAGAAGUGUGAUGAAAAUCACACAGACACUGCUGUUGCAUCACUGGCCACAGUGAGCAGCGACUUGUAGGGCAAGAGAGUCAACUGAAACUAACAUUAUGAUACAGUGUCAUGCUCCCAUGUGACCACUUUUCAAGUUAUUUUGCAAGAUACAGCUCAACCUCCAGAAACGAGACUGCAACUUGUCUGUAAAAAAGCUUUCACAAAAAAUUAUUCAUAACACUAUUAACAUAGCAGUAUCUUUUUUUUGUGUCGGUUCGAGGUUCCCGGCUGUCCAUUAAUGCAAAAAUUGAGGAAAAAGAGAACAUGGGUCGUACUUACACCUUUUUAACGAGUACGAGGGGGACAGAACUUUUCUAGUCAUGCAUCUUCAUCAUACUAUCAAGUUUUUAAAUGCCUUUUAUAAUUAUUAUCACCAGUUAUAUCUGAGUGCAUUGUAUGCAUGUAGCAGGUGUAAAAUCAGGUCAGUUGGAUCAGAUGCCUUAUCUGCAAGCGAGCCCUAUAUUCAAGAAAUUUGAAUUAAAAUAGUUAGGUUAGAGACGCAGUCUUUCAGCACUUUAUUGCCUGUGGUUUAAGCAUUGCUCAAUACUUUUGUGGGUGGCAAUUUCAACCGGCACAGCACUGCGCUUUGCCACAGUCACAUUUGUCUUCAAAGCGGUGUUUACCAUUUGUGUUGAUCUGUUUGUGUAUGCAUAGAGCAAGUUUUUAAUUUAUAUUUUUCUGCAUUCUUGUGCUUGCACUAAGCUUGUAUAAGGCAGUUAUAAAAUGUGCGUCACUAUAACUAACUGUUCUGUUGAGCUUACACUUGCAAAUAAUUGUGUUCAGAUGGCCGCACUUCUAUGCGGGUGCACUGCUAGCUUUGUGUAUGUUCUCAUGUUUGUAUAAAGCUUAUAUAAGCUAGUUAGAAAAUGUAUGUCACUAAGCAUUGUGAUAUUCUUUAAAGAACUGCUUGGUUGGUUUUACACUUGUGAAUUAGUAUUGAGGUGUUGGUAUUCCCAUAUAUGCCCACUGCUAGCUUUCUGUGUCCUCACGUGUUUGUAUUAAGUUUCUACAAGGGAGUUACAGCAUGUACGUCACUAAGCACUGUGAUAUUUUUUAAAGAACUGCUUUGUUGGUUUUACACCUGUGAGUAAUAGUACUCGGGUGGCACUAGUCAUGUGUAGGUACACAGGGAGCAUUUGUAUACAUUAUGCUCAUGUAAAGCAGUUACAAAGUGUAUGUCACUAAUUACUGUGAUAUUUGUUGAAUUGCUGUGAUGGUUUUACACAUGUGAAUAUUAGUGGUCAGGACACAGUACUUGCGGUGUAUAGUUGAAUUUAUACACUGCCAAGACAUGGGCUGUAUACGUACCAAAAGAAAUGUAUGUCAUUAUAUUGUUGUGAUUAUUACUGUUUGGAUUUUAUUAAACUGUAAUAAAAUUGUUUCUUGUAUCUAUUGAGGUAUGGAAAUUUGUCAUGCAACCAAACUGAGGACCUGAACUUGUGCAUACAAAUAAACAGCUAAUUUAAAAGUA